rnacentral:lncRNA from 1 species
UUUUUUAGAUUAGUCCGCUCCGCGAAGCUCAGCUUUGCUUACGUGCGUACAAGGACCUGGGCUGAGACCAGAACAUAGAGCACAUCACCAUAAGUCUCAGAAAGGGUCAUCACCAUGGUAGGAAAGACUUUUUAAAGUGGUCUUCACUUACCUCCUUAAGUGUCAACGGGAGGAGAGUGUUAUUUCAUCCGUUGAAGCUAAAGGCAUAGUGGUUAUUAAAACCGUCAUGAGUAACUCGUCGGUCAUAUUACUAUGGUCUCCCUAAUAAGAUGUGACUAGCAUGCACAGGUACGACAUCACAAAGAACUUGAUCAUGAUACCUUCAUAUGGUGAAAGUUAUCAUUACUUGCUUGUUUACUCAGAUAUCUUCGCACUCAUUCAGCCACUAUAAUCGGUAUGGGUUGGGGUGCUUGGUACAAGCUAAUCCCAACUUCUCAAUAAGUGUUGUA